UAACCUGCCUUCAAGAGGGGGAUAACAUUCUGAAAAGAAUGCUAAUACCGCAUGACAUAUCGGAACCACAUGGUUCUGAUAUCAAAGAUUUUAUCGCUUGAAGAUGGACUCGCGUCCGAUUAGUUAGUUGGUGAGGUAACGGCUCACCAAGACCGCGAUCGGUAGCCGGACUGAGAGGUUGAACGGCCACAUUGGGACUGCGACACGGCCCAGACUCCUACGGGAGGCAGCAGUGGGGGAUAUUGCGCAAUGGGGGCAACCCUGACGCAGCAACGCCGCGUGAAGGAUGAAGGUUUUCGGAUUGUAAACUUCUUUUAUUAAGGACGAAAAACGACGGUACUUAAUGAAUAAGCUCCGGCUAACUACGUGCCAGCAGCCGCGGUAAUACGUAGGGAGCAAGCGUUGCCCGGAUUUACUGGGUGUAAAGGGUGCGUAGGCGGCUUUGCAAGUCAGAUGUGAAAUCUAUGGGCUCAACCCAUAAACUGCAUUUGAAACUGUAGAGCUUGAGUGAAGUAGAGGCAGGCGGAAUUCCCCGUGUAGCGGUGAAAUGCGUAGAGAUGGGGAGGAACACCAGUGGCGAAGGCGGCCUGCUGGGCUUUAACUGACGCUGAGGCACGAAAGCGUGGGUAGCAAACAGGAUUAGAUACCCUGGUAGUCCACGCUGUAAACGAUGAUUACUAGGUGUGGGGGGUCUGACCCCUUCCGU
rnacentral:rRNA from 1 species